AUUGAACGCUGGCGGCAGGCCUAACACAUGCAAGUCGAGCGGUAACAUUUCUAGCUUGCUAGAAGAUGACGAGCGGCGGACGGGUGAGUAACGCGUGGGAAUAUGCCCAAUGGUGGGGGAUAGCCAGGGGAAACUCUGAUUAAUACCGCAUAAGCCCUACGGGGGAAAGCGGGGGAUCUUCGGACCUCGCGCUAUUGGAUUAGCCGCGUCAGAUUAGCUAGUUGGUAGGGUAAGAGCCUACCAAGGCGACGAUCUGUAGCUGGCCUGAGAGGGUGGUCAGCCACACUGGGACUGAGACACGGCCCAG
rnacentral:rRNA from 1 species